UAUAAUCCCGCUCUUCUUACAGUCCCUUCUUAAUCUGAGUUUUCAUUUUGUUUGUUUAGUUAGCUAUAUUGUUCGAAUGGUUUAGCAAGAAUAGGGAUGCCUCGUAUGAUCGAGACUUUGGUCUUUCAUGUGUGAGUAUGAUUCGAAUGUGUAUGUAUGGAUGUUGGAAGGAUGUUUUCUGACUGUUGUUGCUCUUAUUGUUUUAGCUUUCAUAGCAUUGUUAUGAUCAAUUUCAAAAUUGC
rnacentral:lncRNA from 1 species